CUGGAGACUGCAAGAGACAAUUGGAAACCUUCUUAACUGGAACUCAGAUUCGCUUGAAUAAUUGAAUAGUUGAUUAAGAACACAUGCUCACACAGUAUUCAUCAUUAAGCAGCUACAUUUGUUUUUUAGGACUACAUUUGGCCAUAUGGGGUUUGUUAAGCCUUGUAGGUUGAGUGGAAGCUUCAGGAUUGACCACAAGCAUGUCAAUAUAUAUAUCAGUUCGAAAGCAAUGCUAAAGUGAACGAGUUUGAGUUCUCAUUUGCUUAUGUGAAAAGUGGAAACAGAAAGUGGUCAAGUGGCAGUGAAACCCCAGAUUGUAGAUCCGGAGCCCCAUUAAUCUCUAAUUUACUGGUAGGUUUGUAACCAAGUUGAAGCUUAAUGAGGGUAGACUCCUUAUCUACAAGUUGUUUCUUGACUAAAACUUUAAAGGCCUGAUAUGGCUCAUUUGACUAGGACACAAGGUAUAUAUUCAUGCCUUGUUUCCAAUGCAAAAGUCUUUUCAGGGCUAGCUAGUAACUAAGAUGAUCACAGGCAGAGAAUCAGCUUUUACAUGACGGAUGAAUGGAGAAAAGAAGAUCGAGGAGGAGCGAAGCAUUUUGUGCAUGACCCUGCAAGUGCAGCAACUUUUCCCCUGAUCGAUCUUGAGCUCCUGACCUUCUUGUUGACCACACGGGAACGAGGUGUAUAGGUGGAAGUCCAAGAGAACCCUGGAUCUGACUGAUGAAACUCACUGUUGAAGCCAGAGAAACCUCCAUGGCCGGUGGGGGAUGCCCGGUUGCGAGCUGCCUGCAUAGCUGAUGGGAUUCGAAGAUGGCUUGAACAGCUGCUCGUGCAUAAUCAGGUCAAGCCAAUGAGGUUAGGAGUUAUGACUUAUGAGUUAAUGUGCGUAUGAAAACUACAGUUUGCAAUAAUUUAGUUGGUGGAGGAUGUCGACUCAGUAGAAAUUCUUGAUGCCAAUAGACCUCCAAGAAUAUUUCCUUUUUGACGGAAUGGAACAGUUGACUCCGGUCUUGAUUAUAUAUAAGCCUCGAAGAAGCAAUUUGCAGUCGCAUCGAUGUGUGCUGACAUUCUCAAUACUGAAUAGCAUCGCAUUGGAAUUUUAAUAAUUUUCAUCAAUGUACAUCCUUCCAUGUUCACCCUCAAGGAGUCUUCUCCCUA